rnacentral:rRNA from 1 species
GUACACUCCUACGGGAGGCAGCAGUGGGGAAUAUUGCACAAUGGGCGCAAGCCUGAUGCAGCCAUGCCGCGUGUAUGAAGAAGGCCUUCGGGUUGUAAAGUACUUUCAGCGGGGAGGAAGGCGAUAAGGUUAAUAACCUUGUCGAUUGACGUUACCCGCAGAAGAAGCACCGGCUAACUCCGUGCCAGCAGCCGCGGUAAUACGGAGGGUGCAAGCGUUAAUCGGAAUUACUGGGCGUAAAGCGCACGCAGGCGGUCUGUCAAGUCGGAUGUGAAGUCCCCGGGCUCAACCUGGGAACUGCAUUCGAAACUGGCAGGCUAGAGUCUUGUAGAGGGGGGUAGAAUUCCAGGUGUAGCGGUGAAAUGCGUAGAGAUCUGGAGGAAUACCGGUGGCGAAGGCGGCCCCCUGGACAAAGACUGACGCUCAGGUGCGAAAGCGUGGGGAGCAAACAGGAUUAGAUACCCCGGUAGUCCCAUGA